rnacentral:rRNA from 1 species
CAGAGGUCCCAAGCGUUGUUCGGAUUCACUGGGCGUAAAGGGUGCGUAGGCGGUCGGGUAAGUCUGAUGUGAAAUCUCAGAGCUCAACUCUGAAACUGCAUUGGAUACUAUUCGGCUUGAGGUCUGGAGGGGGGACUGGAAUUCUCGGUGUAGCAGUGAAAUGCGUAGAUAUCGAGAGGAACACCAGUGGCGAAGGCGAGUCCCUGGACAGGUCCUGACGCUGAGGCACGAAAGCUAGGGGAGCAAACAGGAUUAGAUACCCUGGUAGUCCUAGCCGUAAACGGUGCGUAUUUGCUGUAAAAGGAAUCGACCCCUUUUGUGGCGUAGCAAACGCGUUAAAUACGCCGCCUGGGAAGUACGGUCGCAAGAUUA